UUAACUAUUAUAUAGUACUCAGACGACACUAACAUUCAGGGUUCGAAGGCCUCUGGCGGGCGCGCGCCGCCUAUUAGACGCCGGCGGCCGGGGACCCGGCGGCCCGCCAAAGAAACGACAGUAACGAUAACAGUGGGUGGGAGAUCUACCCGCGAGGGCGAGAACUCUGUAAUGAUCCCUCCGCAGGUUCACCUACGGAGA
rnacentral:misc_RNA from 1 species